rnacentral:lncRNA from 1 species
AGACAGCAGGCCCAGUGCCUGACUCGGUCGCUCCUCCUUCUCUUCGUGCCUUUUUAACUUUGACAGAUGCUGCCUCAAGGACAAGCGAGCCCUCUUAAACACCCCCUAAGCAGGCGCCUUAUCCCCACCUCUUUCCUAAGGAGGCCACCAGGCCCAGCGACCUCACAGCUCUCCCAGCUUCCUCGCACCAGAAGCGCACGGGGUGCCCUGCGAGUCCCAUACCUGCUGCAAGACCAGGGCGAGUCCCCAGCCAGGCCACUUCCUGGUGCCCUGGGAUAGGGCCGGGAGAGGCAGGGCCUUGCCUUUGCUCUCCUCCAGGUGGGAGUGCCUGUCAUACCUUGACCCUCUCUCUACGCACCUGGCUCCAGGCGGAGGGGCUGGGCCAGGCCUCCCCGGAAGGGGGCACCAGCCUUGGGUAAACGGAUACCCACAGUGCCUGGGUGCUCUCAGGGCAGGGCCUCAGGGCCAUACCCGCCGCGCAGGUGGGGCGGGCGCCCUGGGUGCGCUCCCCGCGCCGGGCACCAGGCGUCGCCCCCGCUCCUCUCAGCGCCGGGGCCCCCGCCCCCGCCGCGGAGCCGCAGCCGGAGCUGGAGCCGAGGCGGCGGCGGGACCCGGCCGGCCGGACAAAUUUCCUGCUCCGCUGCGGACGGCGGGCUGCAGGAGCCGGCGCGAGCGGCUUCAGGAACCCACGGCUUCUGCGCGUCCCCGCGACCCUUCUUCGCGCCCGGCGCGGACAGCCGGGCGCCCCGGAGGGCGGCGGGCGGGCGCCCGGGAGAUGCGGAGCCGCCGCGGCAGCGCGAUCUGCGCGACCGGACCGGCCCCCCCGAGUGUGCACAGCUGGAAGGCAGGCACCAUGAGAGUCUUGUACUGUCUCAGUGAGCUGCUGUGGAAUCAGAUGUGUUCUGCAGAGAAAGAGCCAUGAAGACUUUAUGCCCUGAUCAGCAUCUACAUCUUGACUUUUGUUCAUCUGCAUAACUUGCUCGGCUUCUGUACAUGAUUGUCUCUGAAAUAAGCGGCCACCUUCUGCCUCGCACACCUCGUUCCUACAUUGAUAAUCCCUCCUACAUCCCAAUACUGACUUAGGGAUGGAACCCCGAGCCUCUCAUCACCCCUGCUGCUUACAGGGGUUGGAUUGGCGCUGGUAGUCAGCUUCCUCCAGGAAGAAGGCAUCUCUCACCACUGGGGAGGCUCAGGAGGCUCCACACCACGUGUGCCUGCCUGCAGAGUCCCCUGCGCUGGGAAAACUGCCCAAGGGAGACGGUGCAUCCACCAUCUCCCUGCAGCCCUGCUGGCUCAUCCGCCCUCGCCUCCCUGCCUCCCUUUCACCCUCCCUCCAGGUGCCUUUGCAGCCUCAGGGGAUUCAUGCUGCACCUCUGGCUUCCUCCGGGAGCUUCUGGAAGGUGAAAUAAAGUCCCUGGGAUGCCGAGCUCUCUCUGGACC